rfam:Schistosoma mansoni strain Puerto Rico chromosome 1, complete genome
AUCCAGCUGACGAGUCCCAAAUAGGACGAAACUUACGUCCUAGAU